CUCUUCCGUGUCUCCCACUCCCCCCUUUUGAAACAAUCCUGCUAAAUCACUGCCUAGUCCUCUCUCGACCAGCCACGCUCGGCUCUUAUUGGGAGAGUCCCGUAUUCUCAGAGUAAAAGUUGUUUCUGGAAUUGAUCUCGCCAAAAAGGACAUCUUUGGAGCCAG
rnacentral:sRNA from 1 species